AAUAGAUACCCGGGUAGUCCACGCCGUAAACGAUGAGUGCUAAGUGUUAGAGGGUUUCCGCCCUUUAGUGCUGCAGCUAACGCAUUAAGCACUCCGCCUGGGGAGUACGGUCGCAAGACUGAAACUCAAAGGAAUUGACGGGGGCCCGCACAAGCGGUGGAGCAUGUGGUUUAAUUCGAAGCAACGCGAAGAGCCUUACCAGGUCUUGACAUCCUCUGACAACUCUAGAGAUAGAGCGUUCCCCUUCGGGGGACAGAGUGACAGGUGGUGCAUGGUUGUCGUCAGCUCGUGUCGUGAGAUGUUGGGUUAAGUCCCGCAACGAGCGCAACCCUUGAUCUUAGUUGCCAGCAUUUAGUUGGGCACUCUAAGGUGACUGCCGGUGACAAACCGGAGGAAGGUGGGGAUGACGUCAAAUCAUCAUGCCCCUUAUGACCAGGGCUACACACGUGCUACAAUGGGUGGUACAGAGGGUUGCCAAGCCGCGAGGUGGAGCUAAUCCCUUAAACGCCAUUCUCAGUUCGGAUUGUAGG
rnacentral:rRNA from 1 species